CGCGAAGCCGGCUCAGAAGCCCGUGGCCCGCGGAGAGGCCGCGCGCACCGGAGGCGGCCGCGUCCUUCCUCCUCCCGAAGUGCAGGCAGAGCGCCCGGAGCCAUGGCCAGCGCUCCCGGCAGCCCCGAGGACGCGGGCAAGGCCAGGGGCAGGGACGGCCGGCCGAGGGGGGACGAGGACGACGCCCCCCCGGAGGAGAAGAGGCUGAGGCUGGGGCUGGAGGGCGGAGGCGCGGGGACCGAGGACGGGGAAGGCGCGCCGCGUCUGGGCAGCGACGGCCCGGGCACCCCGGCAGGUGGCGAAGGCGGAGGCGAUCCGCCGUCCCUGCCGUGUAGCCUGGCCGAGGAGCAGGCUGUUCUGUGCCGUCUCAUUGGCAGACUCUGUCCCCACCGAAGUACCUCGUUCCCAAAGCCCAGACGUGGGGAUUCCAGUUUUGCCUCCAAAGUCUGCAGCAUCUGUGACCUUGGGCCAGACGCGAGCCUCGUGAGUCGCGGGGGAGUUGUCAGCCUCUGCCCGCGUGUGUCAGGGAGAGAGCAAGGAUGUGAAAGGAGAGUGGGCUGGGCCGUGGCCGGCUUUUACGCGUGCACAGAACCGGGCAGUGGGGAAUCACUCUGGGGGCAUGGGUGGAUCGUGUGCAGGUGCCCACGGGUGAGCGUGAGUCCCUGCUCUGGAGAGAGGGAGGCCAAUGCUGCGGUCCACGCCCGAGGGUGUAGCGGGAGGAGGUCUUGGCUGUGGGCUCCCCUGUCCCCCAAGUUCUCUGGGGGGCGGUGCGUUCCCGGGGACUGUGGGCCUGUGGCGGGGGAGCCACGUCGGCUUGCCAGUGGGUGGGCGUGUUGGGAUUGGCACAGAGGGAUCAGCGAAGGGCAGAGCAAGGUGAACGCUAACCGGCUGGUGACCCGUUAGGAAUCGGAUGCCUGAGAGCUUUCGCUUGCCGGGCGUCUGGGGUGGGCGAAUGGGGGCUCAGAGAUGGAGAUGGGCAAGGCGACUGAAAGUCCCAGUGGCAGGUAUUGUCCUCGGUGCACCCUCUCCACCCCUUUUCCUUAUGCUCCCAAAGCGCUGGUGGCUUGUAGCCCCUGCCACCUGCCUCUGCCUACUCUCCUGUCCCCGUCUUGCUGUGCCCGGCUGCUUCACCAUUUGAUCCCAUCUAAGAGAGGCUGUCCUUGGUCUCCGGCCACACCGUGUUCACGUCCUUCAUCUCGCGUCACUCUCACGCCCAGCUUGGUCGUCUGUUUGCACGGGUCUGCCCGUGGGAGCCA
rnacentral:lncRNA from 1 species